rnacentral:rRNA from 1 species
GAGUUUGAUCCUGGCUCAGAUUGAACGCUGGCGGCAUGCCUUACACAUGCAAGUCGAACGGCAGCACGGGAGCUUGCUCCUGGUGGCGAGUGGCGAACGGGUGAGUAAUAUAUCGGAACGUACCCUAGAGUGGGGGAUAACGCAGCGAAAGUUGCGCUAAUACCGCAUACGAUCUACGGAUGAAAGUGGGGGAUCGCAAGACCUCAUGCUCAUGGAGCGGCCGAUAUCUGAUUAGCUAGUUGGUGGGAUAAAGGCCUACCAAGGCAUCGAUCAGUAGCUGGUCUGAGAGGACGACCAGCCACACUGGAACUGAGACACGGUCCAGACUCCUACGGGAGGCAGCAGUGGGGAAUUUUGGACAAUGGGGGCAACCCUGAUCCAGCAAUGCCGCGUGAGUGAAGAAGGCCUCGGUUGUAAG